ensembl:lncRNA
UUUCAAUGGAAAAUGCCUUAAAAACUAGAAUUUUUACCACUUCACAUAAUGUGUCUUGAAAAUUGUUGUGGUUAUUUGGAGCACACUGACAUUGGUCAGUGUGUCACACUUUUGGAGCUCAGCCUAAGCUUCUGCUGAAAUUUAUCUACAUUAAGGAACCCUCCAAAAUCAGUGCACUUAGUUUUCUAACAUCAACCUAUCAUGACACUAUCUAAAAUCGAAUUCACUGACUUAUAUCCUCAGCAUGGCAAUCAAGAAUUCUUCAAAAUAGUAAGUCAGUUUCAUAACUGCACUGGGGAUAGACCUUUUUCAGGUAAACUAUUUUCAGAAUAUAGUGACAGUGUGUGCACCCUAUCAGGUAUCUUUUUUUCCACUUUCUAGUGUAAUAGGAUAACAAUUCAUUUAAGUAUGGCCAUAGUUGCAAAACUACAUUCAAUUUGCUAAGAAAGAACUACAGGGAAAGUUUGUAACUGUCAUAUGUAUUAUGCUAUUAUGACCUAAAGGUAAAAAUGAUGUCAGCCAAAGGGACAGUUGGGACCAAGAACCAUUAGCUACACAUAGACAAUUCAAAUGCAUUUGUAUGGUAGCCAGUUUAUUUCAGUCUCUAGUCCUUCUACUAUUUUUUCCCAUUUCAUUCUUCCCAUCUUUCCCCACCUACUGCUAUAACUUUUCUUCCAGCAAGUUUUAGGGUUGAAGUUUAAAUGAGCAUCUGCCACAGCACCAAUGCCAACACUAACUGGCCAUCAACCAGCGGGGUACUCUUGCAUGGGAUGCCUGGCUCCACUUCGGAGACUGCGUUUAACCUUUAUGACAUACUCAGAUUCCACCAGCUUGGUGCCUCAAAUCCCAUGUUCCUGUUUCUCUCCAAAUUUUCUGAUCAGAAGCACAUUUUUAGGUACAAUGGGCCAACUGGUGCGCUGCCUCCUCAAGCAUCCAUAAGCCCACGUGAAAAGGAUAAAACAUUUUGCUAUGCAUGAUACAAAUACCUGGUAAGAGAGAGCUCUGGCUUGGAAAUGCUUAGAAUAUAAACGAACAAAGCAGUCCAGGUGGGAAAGGAGAGAGAGAAAGAGGAAGGGAGAAGUGAAGUGUCUUGCCCCAAGUCACAAACAAAAUCACUGGCUGACAGUAGAUUACUAUUCAUUUAACUAUGUUGCCUCCCCCAGUGGUGCUGGAAUAAAGAAACACUGACUCUUUUCCUGCA